CCCCUCUUUGAUUGCUGACUGGUUCUCUCUCAGAUCUCACAGACUCUCUGAAAAACUAAGAAGAACGGGAGGAAGAAAAGGAGGAAGGAGGCUCGGAUUUUGGGCAGAACUUUUCUUUCAAUUUUUUUUUCUAUUUCUCAUACUUUGGGCAUCCAAGUAUUGGGGCCUUUUUAUAGGAGGCAAGGGAUAUUAGGGUUUAAUUGGGAUGUCACAACCAAUCACACGCCAAAGGAGGGGUAUCCAAUAUUCUUGUGUGCCAA
rnacentral:lncRNA from 1 species